AACACUGUCAGUGUCUAAAGUGUCAGACUGGGAACUGGACACGGUAGCGUACGCCUGUCAUCCCAGCACUUAGGAGGCAGACAGGUUUGAGAGUACAAAGUCAUCAUCCUUGGUCACAGAGUAAAUAGGACAGCCUGGGUUACACGAGACCCCGUCUAACCUGAGCCCCCCAACCUCCUCACCAAAUAGGGGCUGGUGAGAUGGUCUCUGCAGCUAAAGGUGAUUGCUGUGCAAGCCUCAGAACCUGAGUGUCAUCCCCAGAACCCACCGUGGGUUGUCCAACCCACCAAAGUUGUCCUCUGACCUCCUCAUGUGCUAUGGCAUGUGUGUACCCUCACUCAUACAGACACACACGUGCACUAGUAAAUAAGAUCAACAUUUAAACAAAGGUUACAGCCCAAUAGCAUCAAGUUUGCCUAGCAUGCGUAAGGCCUUUGGCUAAUCUCUGGUACCUAAGUAAAAUAUCACAACAAAUUGUGUGCACAAUACCAAACUAUCUUCAAAAUCUAGGAUGUAUUUUUCACUUUGAGUGCAUUCUAAUUCAGAGUGGAGAUAGCUUGAGCUGUCAGUGGCUUCAUGUGGCCCUCUUAAGAUGACAACAGCCACAGGCCCUUCACAGUAAAGAACCUUAACAGUGAACAGCAAAAGCCAAGAGCUCCUCCAUCGGAGCUCCAGAUUCCAGGUAGUUCUAAUCCAAGCUACUUAGUCAGCUGGCAGCAUGUUCUAGUGCUGAGGAGUCUGUUGUGAACACUGGAACUACUCACUUCUGAGCCUUAACACGUUCAAACCUAGAUGUGGGCCAGGUGUUCAGAAUCCAAGGCCUCGUGCAUGCUAAAGACACAUUUUAUGCAUAUAAAGACUUUCGGAGGCAGGGUCUCGUGUAGCCCAGACUGCUUUAAACUCCACGUCCUCCUGUGUCAGCCUCCUGAAUACUGGUUUGGCAGACAUAUCCGUUACUGCCACACCAGGCAAGUUCCCUCUAGUGCCUGCUGCUUCUGUGCUGACAUAUGUUGGAAUGGAAACCUGCAAUCUUGUGAAUUCCCUUAGGCAGUAGGAACAGAUUCCAAACUUCACACUGAAGCAGGAGACCUUACUUUAUUAUUGAUUUAUUUUUGAGACAGGGUCUCACUAUGUAGCUCUGGCUGUCCUGAAACUCACUCUGUAUACCAGGCUGGCCUUGAACCCUCAGAGACCUGCCUGCCUCUCCCUCCCCAGGGCUAGGAUUAAAGGUUGUGCCUUAGGCAUCCUUAACUCCUAGGCCAGCUCUCCAGCCACCUGUGUUCCUAUGUUAUAACCCUUUCUCAGGUGAGUGCAGACAGGCACAGAAAGUUUGGCUAGCCCUGCAAUACAGCUCUAUGCAGUUGCAUCAAGAGUCAACUUGUCAACUGGCAAUCAGUAUUUUCCUAAGGAUUCUUAAAUGGUUCCAAGGUAUGGAUUCGUGAUCAUCGUUGCUUAAGGCCCCUUAGGAAGAGAAAGCAGAUCCACCUGUCAAACCAGCAGCUGCUGACACUGGAAAGUGGCCCAAGAGGCAAGGUAACUCCCACUUUCUCUCCUGAGGGGGCAUUAAAUUCUUACAGGUGCAUUCGAUUAAAAUUAAAUAUUUAAUAACACCUAGCGAUGACAGCGUAUAUAUAAACAGCACGUGGGGAGCAGAGGUUAGUGUCAGGAUAAGGCAGGUACCCACGUUCCAAACAACCCAACAAAUCAAGGGAAGUGACCUUACGACAUUUUUGGGAAGCUCGACAUCUCCGGGGUAUUGUGUUAUCUGGAGGUUCUCAAAGGACGGGAAACCACAGACCCAGAAAGUACCGAAUGAAAAUCACAAGCCUUGUUUUUUUGUCAGCAGAUUUUGAAGUGGAAACGAAGAGAGAAGAAUCGUGACGUUUAGAAUAAAGCCCUCCCUGCCCAGUGCCUCCACCAAGUCAAAGGGCAUCACGGAGCAAGCGGGAAGGGACUGGAGUUUGCAGAGCAAAAGGGAUGUGCAGGGAAGCCCUGUCGACUCGAAAGUGACCCCCUCAGGCCUAGGAGGAGUGGGAGGCAGAUGGGCUCCUCCCUGUUGCAAAGGACGCCUGAGUUCGGAUGCGGGAUAAUGAGCCACUCCCCUGGGGGAACUUAGGUAAUGUCCAGUGAACUUAGCAAGGAGAGCAUCUUGGCCUUGGGCAGUAUAAAUAUAGCAGGUACUUGUGUGAGUAUGGAAUGUGUCAUGAGCAUAUAUGCAGGUGGAUGUUGGAUCCCCUGGACCUGGAUGGAGCUCUAGAAGUUGUGAACUACCUGAUGUGGGUGCUGAAACCCAAACCUGGGUCCUCAGAAAGAGCAGUCCACACUGGCAACCACCUUCUCCAGCCCCUUGUGGUGUAGGGGUGGGGUGAGGGGGUGUGGUACGUGGUUGGGGGCGGGACUUUGUGCAAGUGCAUACAGAGGCCAGAGCUGGAGUGUUGUGAGUCGCCUGACCUUAGUGGAGGAAGUGAACUUUGGUCCUCUGCAGGAACUGGAUCAACCGCUGAGCCAUCUCCUCAGCCCUAUAAAGAGUCUUCGUAACAGAA